UACGAAGGGUGCAAGCGUUACUCGGAAUUACUGGGCGUAAAGCGUGCGUAGGCGGUUCGUUAAGUCCGUUGUGAAAGCCCUGGGCUCAACCUGGGAAUGGCAGUGGAUACUGGCGAGCUAGAGUGUGAUAGAGGAUGGUGGAAUUCCCGGUGUAGCGGUGAAAUGCGUAGAGAUCGGGAGGAACAUCAGUGGCGAAAGCGACUUCCUGGACCAGUACCGACGUUCAGGCACGAAAGCGUGGGGAGCAAACAGG
rnacentral:rRNA from 1 species